ensembl:lncRNA
CACCACGGGCUGGGGUGAGUGGGGCACCCCAAAUUCGGGGGAUGUUGGGUUAAUUUGGGGAGGGGUCCCACCAAUCCUGAUGGGGACCCCCCCCCCUGUGGUGUCUUCUCCAUCCCCAGGACCACCCAGGACCCCGGAAUUUGGGGACCCCCCGGAUCCGCCCCCGGAAUUUGGGGAGCCCCUGGAAUUUGGGGACCCCCUGGAAUUUGGGGAGCCCCUGGAAUUUGGGGAGCCCCCCUUGGUGUCUUCUCCUCCUCCAGGACCACCCAGAACUCCGGAAUUUGGGGACCCCUCGGAAUUUGGGGACCCCUCGGAAUUUGGGGACCCCCUGGAAUUUGGGGACCCCCCGGAAUUUGGGGACCCCUUGGAUCCACCCCUGGAAUUUGGGGACCCCCCAAAAUGGGUGGAUCCAAAAUGGGGGGGGCCGGACCAUCCCACCCCCCUGGAGGAGCCCCCCAGUUCCUGGGACCCCCCACAUUUACCCCAAAAGGAGGGACCCCAAAAAUCCCAAAUCCCCCCAGAUUUACCCCAAAAGGAGGGACCCCAAAAACCCCAAAACCUCCCAGAUUUACCCCAAAAAGAGGGACCCCAAAAAUCCCAAAUCCCUCCACUUUUACCCCAAAAACAAGGGCCCCAAAACCUCCCAGAUUUACCCCAAAAAGAGGGACCCCAAAACCUCCCAGAACCCCCAAAUGUGCCCCUAAAAGAGGGACCCCAAAACCUCCCAAAUUUAUCCCAAAAAGGGAGACCCCAAAACCUCCCAGAACCCCUAAAUUGGCCCCAAAAAGAGGGACCCCAAAAAUCCCAAAUCCCCCCAGAACCCCCAAAUUUGCCCCUAAAAGAGGGACCCCAAAGACCCCCAGAUUUACCCCAAAUCCCCCCAGAUUUGCCCCCAAAAGGGAGACCCCAAAACCUCCCAGAUUUACUCCAAAAAGAGAGACCCCAAAUCCCCCAAAUCCUCCCAGAUUUACCCCAAAAAUUGGGACCCCAAAAAUCCCAAAUCCCUCCAGUUUUACCCCAAAAAGAGGGACCCCAAAAC